AAUUAUUGAGAAAAAUUAAAAAAAUUUUAAAAAUGUUAUAAACCAUAAAAGAAAAAAAAAAAAAAAGGAAAACACAAAUUUUCUACUGAGGAUAAGGCUGAAAAAGAAACCGAUGAGAAAAAUACCGUUGGGAUAACCGAGAAUGAGGUUGAAAUAUGUGAUUAAAUAGACUGUGGAAGCUUUAGAACUAAACAAUAACAUUUUAACGAUGGACAGAAAUGGUUAGAGAAUUGGUUGUCAUACUGAUCGUCCUAAAGGCCGAAUAAAUCCCGAGUCAGAUGGAUUGGGAAAAUUUGAAAGAACAAAAUUCCGGCGUAAUUCGCACCAUAGCUAGAUCUAGAUGGCCAAAAUAUAUACGUGAAUAAUAUUGUAGAUUGAAUUUUUAUUUUAUUUUAUAAUGCAGUUGCAUAUUGCAGUUCAUAUCCUCCACUAUGCAACCACUAUGCACGCCACUGUAAAGGUAAACGGUAGUUUCAGAGUUUCUAUUUCAUUAGAAGAUCCUAGAGCUUUCUUAUUAAAAACUCGUAUCAAUUUCAAUUAGAUUGAUUAAAGAAAAUGUAUACACUAAUUUAAGGUAAAUACAUUUUGGGCAUGAAGUAUCGCGUAGCAACAGAGAUACCAUUUAAAGGUGGCAAGGUGUGCAUCUGCACCCCCCCUCCUAUCAGUGUACAUAAUUUACAUAUUUGUUUAUCGAUAAUUUGACCAUAAUUUAAUUUAUUUGUUUGUAUAGAUAUUUGCUACAUGUCUAUUUAUUGAGAUUAAAUUUAAAAAAUAUAUCACUAAGUAUUAUAUUCAAAUUGUUUAUUUUUCAUGAAUUGUUUCAUUUCUUC